rnacentral:rRNA from 1 species
UACGUAGGGUGCAAGCGUUGUCCGGAAUUAUUGGGCGUAAAGAGCUCGUAGGCGGUUUGUCGCGUCGGCUGUGAAAGCCCGGAGCUCAACUCCGGGUCUGCGGUCGAUACGGGCAGACUUGAGUGUUGCAGGGGAGACUGGAAUUCCUGGUGUAGCGGUGAAAUGCGCAGAUAUCAGGAGGAACACCGGUGGCGAAGGCGGGUCUCUGGGCAACAACUGACGCUGAGGAGCGAAAGCGUGGGGAGCGAACAGG